CGCGGCGGGAACCUCCCCCCUCCCCCCCCCCCGGUCUCGCUGGGCGGGACUUGGGCGGAAGGCACCGCCUCUGCGUGCUUAUGCUGGUGGGCGGGAGAGGAAGUGGAAUUCCCCAGGCUGGCCGGUGCGCGCGCCGACGCGGACCCCCCCCCCCGCCCUCGGGCGGGCGUCCAAUCGGGAAGGCGCUGUGGGAGGGGCCGCCGGCCGGAGCGGGUUCCUGGCUUCCGGUGGCCCAGGUGAUGGGGAUCUCGUCUCCCGUGCUCCACCGGGAGGCUUAAGCGGCGGGAGGAGGCUCCCCUCAAAUUAGGAACGGUAAUUUAAAACAGACCCAGGCCGAGUGCCGACAGCCCCGCCACGUGCGGGGCGCCGUGCCUUGCAAACCCUUGGGGCCCGAUCCGGGCCGCGGCCUGCAGGGGCCUGCGUUGGCAGAGCCUUAACAAUGCAGCUUAAUUGUGAUCGGAUUGCGUAGGGCCUUGCCCCCCACCCCCGACGUCAGGCACGGUUAGGUGUGGAGCGGCAAGAGGAAUUCACCUUAGAAUCUUCUUUCUCCCGUUGCUGGCUCAGUUUUUGAACCCCAAAGUGGCAAAACGUUAGGGAAUCAGUCUGGAUUAAAUUCGGUGGGUGAGAGCUCUAAGUGUUUUUAAUCUGUCGUGCUUAAGGCGAAGAGUGCCGUUUGUCAUCUACUGUAUCCUUUGGUUAAAAACUAAGACUUUAAUUUUUUGAAAGGCAUUUAAAGGCAGAACGGAUCAAUCUGCUUUAGGGUUUUCUAACACCCAUGAAUAAUCCCACUUAAAGUGGAAAUCCUUAAGGACUACAUGGAAAAAAGUUGAAUUUUGAAAACCUGUUGCAGACAAUCGUCCCUAAUUAAAAUGAUAAAAAGUGAUGAAGGAUCUAAGAAUGAGGGUAUAUAUCGUGUGUAUAUAUACACAUACAUAGCUGCAUAUUAUACACACACACACAUAAAAUGUCACUAGAGCAAUUAGUGGGAUACAGCUGCUUCAACUAGUGCCCACAGGAAUCACCUGUAGUUUAGUUUAAAAUGCUGAUUUUGAUUUAGUAAGCCUGAGUAGGAGCCCGAGAUGAUACAUUUACAGCAAGCUCCCAAGUGAUAGAGAUUAUUUGAACCAUUUCUGAGUACUUACUUCAUGCUCUCCUGGCCACUGACACUUCCUCCUCCCUGAAAACAACCCAUUGUUCUCUCUUCAGGCUAACCAGUUAAAUAAAGUAGAAGCAAAGCAUUAGGCGUGGGGGUGGAGGGAGAAACCCAGACGGGAGUUCUCCUGACUGCUUUUUUCUGUUUAGGAUACCUGUCUGGUUCCACAUCUUACAGCUUUGUUUCUUCACCACCAAGCUAGAUGAGUAAUGCCUGCCCUCUCUCAGAGUUGCUGUGUUUCAAAUGUCAUAAUGUGAAAGGACACUGUACAGAAGCCGGGGUGCAAUGAUUGGUGGGAAACACUGGAACCUACCAAUCAGGAACUCUCAACAUAUAGGGAGGACAAUGAAGAAGUUUCAAAGAAACCAAUUCCUGUGCCCUAAUCUAACAAGUUUCAACAUAAAAGUGCACUGAAACUUCACUGCUGUGCAACAAAGCACAGCAUACUGGAACAAAUGUGAGGUCAGAGUUCUUGUGUCUAAAAAUAUGUGGGCAGUUCAGUAA